rnacentral:rRNA from 1 species
UGGGGAAUUUUGGACAAUGGGGGCAACCCUGAUCCAGCAAUGCCGCGUGAGUGAAGAAGGCCUUCGGGUUGUAAAGCUCUUUUGUCAGGGAAGAAACGGUGGUGGCGAAUAACUACUACUAAUGACGGUACCUGAAGAAUAAGCACCGGCUAACUACGUGCCAGCAGCCGCGGUAAUACGUAGGGUGCAAGCGUUAAUCGGAAUUACUGGGCGUAAAGCGUGCGCAGGCGGUUGUGUAAGUCAGAUGUGAAAUCCCCGGGCUCAACCUGGGAAUUGCAUUUGAGACUGCACGGCUAGAGUGUGUCAGAGGGGGGUAGAAUUCCACGUGUAGCAGUGAAAUGCGUAGAUAUGUGGAGGAAUACCGAUGGCGAAGGCAGCCCCCUGGGAUAACACUGACGCUCAUGCACGAAAGCGUGGGGAGCAAACAGGAUUAGAUACCCACGUAGUCCCUGAGCGGGCUGGCAAGGCGCAU